rnacentral:misc_RNA from 1 species
UAAAGGCUUAGUUGAGUUGAGUUAGUUGUUACCCAUAACGAGGCCCUAUAUUUAGCCUAAUACAUGGACUAUGCACAUAUAGUCAGAUUUAUGUUCAAUUGAAAUAUAAUCUCAGUUCUAGGUUACUGUUUUUAUAGCACAAAUAUUAUUGGAAUUUAAAUGAGUUCUAGGUUACUGUUUUAUACCACAAAGAUUUAGCUUGAGAUCAAAAGAAAUCCUUUCAAAUGUUUGAGCAUAGAAAGAGUCCUAUUUCCUUUCCUAGGCCUGGAUAGAAUUUAUCUCAAGAAAGCAUACAUUGGAGCAAACUUGCAAUUUAACAAUUUGCUAGGAAUGUUACAAACAAAGAGUUUAUUAACAUUGAUGAAUUGGCAAGGAGUGCUGGAGUGGUAUUGUAAAUUAUUAAAUUACAAUGGAAAUAAACCUUUGCAAAAAUGAUUAGAUGCUAAUUUUAUUGAUGAGAAUAAUUUUUAUGCUGGAAACAAAUUGCUGGACAGGGAAAUAUAUUUUUGGUCUUGGGCAUCAAAGAGUUAAGGAGGCUCUAACCUUAACAAUAAAAUCAUGUUGUAUGUUCUCACAUGCAUAUAGGGGUAUAGAUUUUUCAGUAUACCACUAGCUGGAAAGACUAGUUUCAGAGAUUUUGUCAUCAUUAGAUCAUUAGAAAUUAAUGUUUCUCUUGAGCUUUUCGGCUUGCAUUAAAGCUUUUUAACAGUGUCAAUAAUUCUUAACUCAGUUCCACAUUAAAUACUGAUACUUGUGUCUGUCUUUGCAACAAAAGCAUGGUAUUGACAUCAUGUUUACAUGGUAUUGAUAUCACUGACAAAGCAUAUAGAGGUAGAUUGUCACUUUA